UCAUUUGCCUGUAAUUAUUGAAAAUGAUGAACAAAGGGAAAAUAGCGAAGAUAAAUAAUUCCUCAUUUGCCUGUAAUUAUUGAAAAGGAUGAACAAAGGGAAAAUAGGGGGGAAGAAGCAAUAACUUCAGCCUUUGUUUUUCCAUUUUUCCGACCAGCCUCUCAUCUCCACGUUGAUGUCCAGCCACCAAACAACCACCCCUAAACAACCCCAUUUUUUCUGUUUCCACAGCCACCAUCACCCACUUUCCGGCUGGCGACCAAACCCAUCUGAAACCAGCCCACUUCGACGGAAAAAAAUUCGUAAACCACCUCACAACCAGACGCCAACUCCGGCGAACCAGACCACCCUUUACUGUCUCUUUUCUCUAGCCAAAAUGUCACCAAAAAACACCCAAAUCGACCCCACUGGUUGACUUCCCUCAAACCAUCUUCCUUCUCCAACCAGAAACUCAUUCAGCUCCAAACACACAAAAAAAACUCGAGAUCUGUCCAUAAUAUUUUUCGAGGAGCAAUUGUUUUGAUUUCAUCCAAAAGUUGUAAUCUUUUUCAUAUAUAAGCAUUAUUAGAUUGAAGAGAAAAUUGAAAGGGGGAAAAAUGGGUGGAUCUUUGAUAAGUUCGGGCAUUUUGGUAAUGGUGGGUUCUUUUUACAUUGCUACACUUUUUGGUGAAAACCCAUCUCUCUAUAUUCAUCAAGAACAGCAACAAAGUGAAAAUCUCACCGUUGAUUCCAACCCCAUUUCUUCAGAUGUAUGCACAAGUUGUUGAGAGAGAAUGAGAAGUUAGGGGUUUGUUG
rnacentral:lncRNA from 1 species